AUUGAACGCUGGCGGCAGGCCUAACACAUGCAAGUCGAACGGUAACAGGAGACAGCUUGCUGUUUCGCUGACGAGUGGCGGACGGGUGAGUAGUGUCUGGGAAACUGCCUGAUGGAGGGGGAUAACUACUGGAAACGGUAGCUAAUACCGCAUAACGUCGCAAGACCAAAGAGGGGGACCCUCGGGCCUCUUGCCAUCGGAUGUGCCCAGAUGGGAUUAGCUUGUUGGUGGGGUAACGGCUCACCAAGGCGACGAUCCCUAGCUGGUCUGAGAGGAUGACCAGCCACACUGGAACUGAGACACGGUCCAGACUCCUACGGGAGGCAGCAGUGGGGAAUAUUGCACAAUGGGCGCAAGCCUGAUGCAGCCAUGCCGCGUGUAUGAAGAAGGCCUUCGGGUUGUAAAGUACUUUCAGCGGGGAGGAAGGGAGUAAAGUUAAUACCUUUGCUCAUUGACGUUACCCGCAGAAGAAGCACCGGCUAACUCCGUG
rnacentral:rRNA from 1 species